UACGUAGGGUGCGAGCGUUAAUCGGAAUUACUGGGCGUAAAGCGUGCGCAGGCGGCGCGUUAAGACAGGUGUGAAAGCCCCGAGCUUAACUUGGGAAUUGCGCUUGUGACUGGCGUGCUGGAGUGUGGCAGAGGGGGGUGGAAUUCCACGUGUAGCAGUGAAAUGCGUAGAGAUGUGGAGGAACACCGAUGGCGAAGGCAGCCUCCUGGGCCAGCACUGACGCUCAUGCACGAAAGCGUGGGGAGCAAACAGG
rnacentral:rRNA from 1 species